rnacentral:lncRNA from 1 species
CUGAACUUGGUUUUUCCUCCUCCAACCAGAAUGGCAUGACUCAGGUAUAAAAUCUCCUCUCCUCUCAGAGACUCUGGCGGUCUGGAAAGUAUAAAAAGAAAAAACAAAAUCAGUAAAUUCAAGAGAGAAAUGAAAAGAGCAAGAAAACUGUAGGAAGAGAGGGAAAGAAAAAGGAAAAUACUUGUACACAAAAUUGGAAGGGUGUUUGGAACCCCGCCUCAAUUUCUAACAACUGAAGCUAAGGCUUGUUGGUCUCCACUGGGUUCCUCCACUGGUCUCUCCAACCCAAUUCCCUUGUUCAGGAUCUGUGGGGUUCUUUGCCUGGGAAAGGCACAUUCACAUGGUCUGGUCUAUGGUAGGGCUUUACCUACUGGCGGUGGGUAGGGAAAGGUGGUGGUGGCAGCAGAGAGGGAGGUGAGAAGAGCCCUGGGAGGUGUGGCCAUGUCAGGUGGAGGCCCCUCCCCCACCCAUACGGAGGGGCCCAGCAUCCACCACCCCAGGGGAGCCUCUGGGCUCCAGGCCAUCCUGGGUGACUUAAGCCAGAGUGAUCUUAUUACAGCCAUUAGUGACCAGAAUGAUUUCUUAUGCCAAGAGCAGAAAGAAAUGGAUCCAAAUGAGAAAACCGGGACAGCUUGGGUUCUGCGAGAUGGCUGCGAGCUGGGGAUUGCACCGAUAAUAAAGCCCAUAGCUGCUUCUUUGGCAUCCACUCCAUGUCAGGCAAAGUCGAGCACACAGGUAGGCUCUGAGCUGCAGAGUUUGUAGUUGUGCAGGGCUGGAAGGCACUUAUGGGUAACAAUUAGACUAUAAUGUGCUUAUGGGUUGGCAGAAAAUGGGGAGACAUUCCUGGCGUACGUAAGAAGACUUACUACUCCCACUUCCUUCCCAGCGGUAGGUUUAAGGUAAGUCUCUCCUUUGCUGAUGAUGACCAACCCUGCCCCCAGAAUCCAUCAGGAGUUUGGACGCAUCCACAGCUCCCGGAGAAGAUCCCGCUUGACCUCCCUGUCAGAGGCAAGUGCUUAGUGCAUUUCUGAGGCCAGGUAUACCUGGGUUGGGUCUUAGCUUCUAGACUGGAGCUGGCAUCUUGGCCUCAGAGUUUAUUUCUGCCUUUGCAAAACUGGGACAUUUGCCCAAUAAGGGGUUUGGAAGUGCCGUUCCUAGCCCUGAUGAUCCUCAUCAUGGUGCAUUUGUUUAUUCAUCUUUAGAGAAAAGACGCAGUUUCUUUCUAGAAGCUCUAGAAAUGUGACAAAACUUCCAUCUCCCCUUCCCACGCCGAGGUAUGGUUGCUGGGUUGAUCACCUCCCUCCCCCCACCGAUUACUAGCAGCUCUGCAGAAUUCCAAACCCUGACCUCUGCAUCUCACCAGCGCAAGUUUGAGAACUUGCCCCCAGUGUAUGUUCUCUGACCCUAGUUGUCAAGGUUUGAUUUCUGCAUUCUUGCUGUUGCUCUUCACUUACUUCUAUUACCCCCUCCAGCUGCACUUCAGGGAAGCCCACAUUCUACGGACCCAAAGGAUGGUCCCUCAAACAGGCCAGAACCUGUGCAAAUAUCCAGACCUGUGAUGCCCAUGGAGCACGGCCUCCUACUCACCUGCCUGUGGGCCAGUCCGCACAUGCAUGACUAGGCGUUCUGGGAGUGGGAGGAUGUGAGGACUAGCUGGCCACAGGGACUGAGAGGUAACACCUGCUUGAUCCUUUGCUAGGAUCUGGGACUCUCUCAAUGCACAAUGCUUUCCAGGGAGUCUUGAAGAGCUAGCCGGGCUCCCUUUGCAUUUUCUUUUUUCCACUAAAGAAAGUAAACAUCUUGCAUGUGUUUCCAUAGUGGUUAGGCACUGAUUAUGGGAGACCGCCUUGCAGAAACUUGGCUGUUGUGGCCUGAGGACACUGGGACUGAGUAAAGCACUUGGGACUUUACGUAGGGAAAAAAAAAAAGUUUAGUUUGCACCAUCUGGGUAGGGUGUGGAACAGUUUGGGUGCCAGAAAUGGGGGACACCUGGAUUCCCCAUCGCAAAAAGGGGCGCCUCUAUGUCACCUUGCAGGUGAAAACUGAGGAGGCAACGGAUCAGUGAGACCUGGACUGCUCCUGUCCAACCUGAGCAGCUGCCAUCUGUCAGGACCCCUUCGAGGGCGUGCAUUCAGCCAGCACCGCCGUUCAACGUGGACCCAGAAAAAUCUCUCAAACUCACAGACUUGGAGAGAGAGGAAGGUAGCCAGGCAACAGAACUGCGGAAAACAUCCUCUAGGUCACAUGAACUUUAUUGUAGAUCAGGAAGUUAUCUAACAGCUGCCAAAACUCUUUCUGACUCCAAAUGUUGACUGUUUCUCACACCUCACCAUUGGGUAUGGGGUCUGCUGCCUUGGGGGUUAUUCAGAUUUCCCAUUCCUUCUCAGACUCCAUCUACCCCCACCUGCCUGGUUGCAUUUGGAGAUGAUUUCCUUUUUUCCAUUCAUGAGACCAUGUGGCUUCCAUACUUACCUGGGCUGGCAGUUUCUCUACUCACCCUGCAAAUCUCUUGAGGAGGAAAAGCCCGGUUGAGGAAGGGUCAGAAAAAGGAAGCCAAGCCUGGAAGUGCAAGCAUACAUUAUCAUAUUCUUCUCAGGGUGCCUUUAGUUCAUUCCAGAAAAAAAGUGCAGCACAAUAAGUAAUUUUAAUGGGCGACCUCCCUUUCUUCCACUAAUUCCCAGUCCUGAGCAAGGUUCACGAGCAAGAACCUAGUCUUCUGUGGCCUUGAAUGCCCCAACGGGUCUGGUGGCGAUAUUGAGCACACAGUGGGAGCUGAGACAAUAGAUCCUGGUUGACAAAACGGACGCUUCAAAGGAAAAGGGGCAAUUAUUUGAGAGCAAAUGUAAGCAAAGGCGCGCGCGCACACACACACACGUGCGUGUAUUCUGUGCCUUUUCAAUUAAUUCCAGGCUCAUAUAUGAGACUACCUCGAGGAUCUGCUCCCAUUUCUCAGCCCAGCGCCCCAACACAAGCUGAUUCCUCCUGGAUAACAAGCACCUUGGCGUCAAGGGAGCCCGCUCCAGCUGACAUUUGCAGACAUUUGUUACUUCUGCCUCGUAGUGCUCCUUUCUUCACCCUCGACGGUCCAGAGCUGAGCUCACAAGACUGAGGCAGGCCCAGUCCAGAUGACCAGGAGCAGAGACCUUCCUGGGCCAAAGCACAGAAAGGUCAUCUCAGCGAAUUUACUCGGGGUAAAGAGGAGACUUGG